UACGUAGGGUGCAAGCGUUAAUCGGAAUUACUGGGCGUAAAGCGUGCGCAGGCGGCUAUGCAAGACAGAUGUGAAAUCCCCGGGCUCAACCUGGGAACUGCAUUUGUGACUGCAUAGCUAGAGUACGGUAGAGGGGGAUGGAAUUCCGCGUGUAGCAGUGAAUGCGUAGAUAUGCGGAGGAACACCGAUGGCGAAGGCAAUCCCCUGGACCUGUACUGACGCUCAUGCACGAAAGCGUGGGGAGCAAACAGG
rnacentral:rRNA from 1 species